ACAGGGGAGCCGGUCGUCAACCGGCUGAGAUAGCGGCUUGGUCGCCGCUGACCCUCUGACCUGAUUUGGAUCAUGCCAACGUAGGGAGAGUGUUUAUC
rnacentral:ncRNA from 1 species